UACGUAGGGGGCUAGCGUUGUCCGGAAUCAUUGGGCGUAAAGCGCGUGUAGGCGGUCCGGUAAGUCCGCUGUGAAAGUCGGGGGCUCAACCCUCGGAUGCCGGUGGAUACUGUCGGGCUUGAGUACGGAAGAGGCGAGUGGAAUUCCUGGUGUAGCGGUGAAAUGCGCAGAUAUCAGGAGGAACACCAAUUGCGAAGGCAGCUCGCUGGGACGGUAACUGACGCUGAGACGCGAAAGCGUGGGGAGCAAACAGG
rnacentral:rRNA from 1 species